GGUGUCAAAAUUGUCUAUCAACCUUGUUCCUGUCUUCUUUUGGAAAAAUAUGAAACUCUUCUAUUGUUCAUUUAGAUGCCGCGCGUGGGUACGUAUGGUUAUUCAGUUUGUUAAACUUUAAGAAAGAGAACGCUAUAGUAGUGUCUAUUGUUGAAAUACCUUUACAUUUCAUAUCAAGGCAGGUAAAGAUAAUGUUAACGCGUUUGAUUGAAGUUUUUUUACAAUAGAGUACUUAAUAGAUAAUCGUUGAAGUUUUUAUGAUGUAAUACUAUAGCCUUGUUUAAUAAACUUGUCAAUAUUGUGAGCUCACUAAACGUUGAAGUUGGCAAAAGCUAGUUUGAGUUUUCUUUUCCAGUUUAGCUCCCAUGUUGCAUUUGCAGUUUUAUUUGCAUAUAGUUUGGUAUUGAUUCUUGCAUGUUGAUGGUUGUUAGACCACGUCUGCUGAUUCAAUGCUUCAUAAGCAGUCUCUGAUAUGUUAUCCAUGCUUACAUUCUGCAGGUAUAAGUGCUUCUAACAUGUUUAACAAUUCUAUGGUAUUCUUUGUGAUAUGGUAGCAUGAUAUUAAACAUGAAGGCAUGAUGCAUGAUAGCAUAAUGUCAAACAUGAUCAUUGCUACUUCAUUUCAUCAUGUUGGAAGUGUCUUGUUAUGUUGGAUUAAAUUAUGUAACAAUUGGAACUAGCACUCUUCUGGCACCUGUGUGUACUGGAUCUUAUUGCUGGUGAUUGUGGCUUAAGCAGUUUAAACUAAUUCUGAAAAUUGUAUGGCAUAUUACAUGUUGACUUUUUGCUUUGCUUUAACAAAGUGAUUGUUGGAUAACUUUACAAUUUUGGGGCUUCUAGUUCAACAGAUAGUUUAAAUAGAUUUUUAGAUGCAUCACCAUGCAAUUGCAAUGCUGGAAGAGAUUUUUUUGCUCAAGGAAGACCACAUUCUUUGCUAGUUCUACUUAUUGCAAAAAGGGGAGUGGUCAUCUCUGGUUCAAAUCGUCCGGCUACCUUGCUUGCGUCUUCCUAUUGAGAACAUGACAAUUUUUCUUCAUUGUGGUGUUGCGAACAGGUACCCAUCUAUUUUGCAGUUGUUGAUAGUGAAUUUUUUCUGGCAUGAUGGCAAUUUGCUUGCCGGCAAUAUGCUGCAAUUCAUCCUUAUCUUCUGCAGAGAGCGUUAUAUGGGGUUGUAGGAGCACUUUUGUUCCUGUUGCACUCUUCUGUUGAUUGGAUGUGUUGUGUGCUGAUGCUGGUUCUUGGUGUCAUGCAAUGGAGUACAUGGAAUGAACCAUAACCGUUUCUUUUUCUCGUCAUGGUGGAACGUUUUGGAGCUGUUGCUGAAGGCCGUGUUGACCAUUUUGUCUGGUGUACUGUCGAGGUUUCCCGGCUGGUUAAUACUGUGGGUUUUCAACUGAAUUCAGUUAAAAUGCGGUGGACGUGCGUAUCUUUUGCAUAUUUUUGUUUCAAAUUUAUUUCAACCUUGAUUCUACAACGUUCAAGGUACGAUUUUGAUCAGGUCAUGGAACUAAUAUUGGAAUUUCCUUCUCUGUUUUAGGUGGUUCUGUAACAGCAAAUGAUGGUUCUAUUGAAGUUAUUAACGUGACGUAUACGUGCCAUACACGUGCCAUACGUAUUUUCCUGUGGGGAUACAGUAUCCAAUCCAUAACGAUGUGAGGAAAAAUUGGGAACCGUGGAACGAAAACAAAUAGUAAGUUAUAGUAAUAAAGGCUGGCAUCUCUUGACAACAGCUGCGGUGGUGAAAAAGAUGUUGGCCGUGUAUCAGAAAAGUAAGCAGUUGGCUGUUUGAAGGUAGAAAAAUUGUUAGUUCGAAACUCAACCGAAUUUUUCCAAUACUUUAAGUUUCUUACCUGUUGAAAAAAAAAAGGGUCUCGUUUUCUGUGACGCUGUUUUCCUUUACUUGUGAUAAAUCGGUAGUGGUAGUCAUUACUGUUGCCAGCAUUUCAUUGAAAAGGUCAAGGAUUUUGUCAAAAUGUUAUUAUGCACGAUUAAUAUUUAAUCGCUUUGAAUUUGCGGUAUUUAUUGGUCAUAACACGGGUUAAAUUUCGAGUCGUGUUUAUCUAGAGAUAUUCGCAUUAAAUAAUUGUGAGAUUCUUAUAUUAAACUAUGUAUCAUCAACUGAAUAAAUUUUAAAUAUCACAUUGAA